rnacentral:lncRNA from 1 species
AAGAUGCAGCAGAAGAAGCAAUCAGAGAGAUUGGAAGCAUAAGAAGGAUUUGACACACGUUUGUUGCCUCUGAGAUGCAUGGGCCAAGUGCAAGGACCUGAGAGUGGCCUCUAGGAGUUGACAUCUGCUGCACACCUGUGCUAUAGCCUUGAGGCCUGAAUAGAAGCCGACUUCUCCACUGGGAGGUUUCCCUACAUUACCACUCGGUGAUAUAGAAGUUUCUUCUAUCCCAGUGCCUGACUCUGACAAUCUGAACUGAUGAAAGGUUGUGAUAGUUGGAAAAUGGAUGAGCUUGAAGCUGGUAAAAACAAGAAUGGAAUCCAAUCAAAAGAGUUUAGAUCAAUUGAUUUUACUUCUCUUUGAACUUUGCUUAACAGAAAAAUGUGGGCGACGAUAUCAGGAUUCAAGAUACAACAUACAUAAAGUUGUCAGCAGGUGUUAAUUUUUUCCUUUUGCAGCACCUUUAUCUUCUUUUAUUUUUAGUCACUUUUAUUCUUUGACCCAUCAAUAUCAUCACAUCUCAUCUUUUUCAAAUCGGGUACUUUGGAUCAGUUUCUAGUCUAUACAUAAUCCCAGAGAUAAGAAAAGUUCCUUUAUUUGAGGAUAAUUUGUCAUGAACAUUACUAUCAUGUUUUGACAUUUAUCAAAUAUUUGCUGGUUUGGGAAAGAGACCAUUAGUAUAUAAAACCUCAACAUCGCAUCUACUGUAUUGCUUAGGCAGGCAGAAGAAUAAAUGAAAUUAAAGCAUUUGUUCUUCUAAAUUAUGAGGUGAUCUCAUGUUCUUCAUUCACAUAUGUAAUAUUACUCUUUAAUCUUCUCCAAAAUAUGUUCUUAUCUGUCAGCUGAUUUAAUUUGACCCUCCCAGACCACUUUAGGAAAUUGUUUGAUACUUUUUUUUUGUUGUUACAGUCAAGGAAACUGAGACACAAAAAGACACAAAAGACGCAUACCCAGCUUUAGUGUCUUGCCCAAAGAAUCCAAGGCUCACCAGUGCUAGAUAGGUUUUUUUAAUCCCCAGAGGAGCUACAGACACCUUAAAUGCUAUGCCAUUUGCAGUAAGUAUUUGCACAUAGUCAUGCAUUAAUCAUGUUAAUAUUAAUGUUAUAAACACCCAUGCAUCUAUUUUAAGGUGCACCAAGGUAACAGUUUGGCCACACGCAUUAUUUUCUUUUCGGAUUUUUAAUCAUUCAUAAUAUCUAGCCAAUAACAAUUUCAGUACAAAUGGAUUAGUGAGCAUAUUACAAUCACUUCUACCUAUAGUUAUUGCCCUUGGAAAGACUUUAUUCUCAGCUAUUUAUUAAGAGCUUCAAAACUCUUAGCAUAACAUAAAUUAAAUCAGAUUAUUUAAAAUGGUCACUAGUGCAUUAUAAUAGUUCUUGGUUGCAAAUGUAUGUUUUGUUAUUUUUGAGUCCUUUGAUUAUGACUAUACAUUAGCAAUAAAUAUAAAUAUAUCAUCAAUCCAGCUUUGAAAUCAAAGAUUUUUAGCCAAUUUACCCUAUGUAAGUUCAUAAAGCAAUAUCACCUUCUAACUUAAAGAUAAAGUGACUUAAAACCGACUGAGCAGAUGUGUUUAAAUGCUCUUGCACCAAUUCUAGUGUCUCCCAAGCAGAGAAACACUGUAAGAAAAGAAAACAAACUCACAGAUUCCCUUCUCUCAUCUACAUUCAGCCCAAGCAUGAAAAGUAUUACCAGUAGCCAAAAAAUGUAAUUUAAUUCACUCCUACUUGGAUUUCCACCUGGACUUCAUCAUACAACAAUGAGAAAAGAAUAUGUUAAAUGCAUACAGCCUAUAUAACAUUUUUAAUGAAAUGUUGGUAUGCCCCUCUACCAAAUGGUCUGAAAAGACAAAACCCUUCUGCAAAGUAAAAAGCUAUUUGUGGGAAUCAGAAAGAUAUGUGGCUUUAAGCAAUAUUUCUAUUUAAGCAAAAUAUCAGGAGUUCUUCAUUUAAUAAAUGUAUGUUCACAGUCAGAACAUCUAAGUAAAAGCAUAUAUGAAAUUAAAGUUCAGUUUAAAC